CUUAUGAGAUAACUCCACUUGUAUCUCAGUCUUUGCAUCAAAUACAGAGGGAUGGCGCAGGAAGUAGAAAAGGUUGGAGGUAUGUAAAUUAGUUUUUUAAGG